GUCUAUGGCCAGGCCACCCUGAACAAGCCCAAUGUUUGAUCUCAGAAGCUAAGCAGGGUUGGACCUAGUUAGUACUUGGAUAGGAGACCACCGAGGAAGACCAGGUGCUGUAGGCA
rnacentral:rRNA from 1 species